rnacentral:lncRNA from 1 species
AUUUAAAAAAAAACACGUGCAUGCCGCACGUGCACCCUAAGCUACUAACACACUAUUGGCCCUUUAGCCUUAUUUUAUUUAUAAGCUACCUACAACCACAGGCUUAUUUAUUAUUAACUAUGGCUUUUAUAGCCUUAUUUUUCUAGUGCUUCGCAAGCUUUAUUGGCAUUUAAGCUAAGCCUACACACACAAGCUACUAUGGCUUUUAUAUAGCCUUAUUUGUUUCUGGCUAAUUAUAGCCUUACAGGCUUAUUUAUUAUUAACUAUGGCUUUUAUAGCCUUAUUUUUCUAGUGCUUCGCAAGCUUUAUUGGCAUUUAAGCUAAGCCUACACACACAAGCUAACUAUGGCUUUUAUAUAGCCUUAUUUGUUUCUGGCUAAUUAUUAUUAACCUUAUUCCAUGGCUUCCAUGGCUUUGCGCGCCCUACGUGCGCGUACCUUGGCCAACAGCAAUGUUGGGAUCGGGGGCUGGCUCAGGUGUGGUGACAGCAAUGUUGGGAUCGGGGGCUGGCUCAGGUGUGUCGGAUUCAGCAACGUCACUCUUGACUCUCUUAUGAGAAUCCCAACGUGCAUCGGACCUCGACCCACCUCCAAGAGGGCGGGUGAAACCCCAGCGAGGCCUCUUACCUGAACCGACUGGACAAGGACCCAACAAGCCGGG